rnacentral:rRNA from 1 species
UGGGGAAUCUUGGACAAUGGGGGAAACCCUGAUCCAGCGACGCCGCGUGGGUGAUGAAGGCCUUCGGGUCGUAAAGCCCUGUCGGGGGGGAAGAAACUUUCGCCGGUGAACAAUCGGCGGAAUUGACGGUACCCCCUAAGGAAGCACCGGCUAACUCCGUGCCAGCAGCCGCGGUAAGACGGAGGGUGCAAGCGUUGUUCGGAAUUACUGGGCGUAAAGGGCGCGUAGGCGGUCCGCUAAGUUCGGUGUGAAAUCCCCCGGCUCACCCGGGGAAUGGCGCCGGAAACUGGUGGACUGGAGUACCGGAGAGGAGGGUGGAAUUCCUGGUGUAGCGGUGAAAUGCGUAGAUAUCAGGAGGAACACCGGUGGCGAAGGCGGCCCUCUGGACGGAUACUGACGCUGAGGCGCGAAAGCGUGGGGAUCAAACAG